UACGUAGGUGGCAAGCGUUGUCCGGAUUUACUGGGCGUAAAGGGCGUGCAGGCGGUUUGUUAAGUGCAGGGUGAAAGCUCCCGGCUCAACUGGGAGAGGUCCUUGCAUACUGGCAAACUCGAGGGAGGCAGAGGAAAGUGGAAUUCCCGGUGUAGUGGUGAUAUGCGUAGAUAUCGGGAGGAACACCUGUGGCGAAGGCGGCUUUCUGGGCCUUACCUGACGCUGAGACGGCG
rnacentral:rRNA from 1 species